AGAGUUAAACAGUACGUGAAAUUAUUGAAGGGAAACGAUUGAAGUCAGUCAUGCUGUGAGAAAUCAACUUGGUGGUUUACUUCCUUGUGUACUUUCUCGCUUAGUAGGUCAACAUCAACCUUGGUUACCACCAAAGGAUUGGGCUUCUCUUCGGUGAAGUGUUUAUAGACCCUGAUAGAUGUGAUAAUCAGGAUUGAGGAUUGCAGCGAAUGCCUUUGGGUAGUCGCCUGUCUUCUGACGGUUACCUCGCUUUCGACAGCUUGCUGAUGAUUGUGGGAUUUAACAGUUUAGAAGUUAGAGUGUACAUAAAUUCACUAAGGAUGUUGACAUAAUGGCUUUAAACAA
rnacentral:misc_RNA from 1 species